AGGUUUGAUAUUGUAUGUUAAAGUUGUUACAGUCUAAAAGAUUGCAGUUGGAUAUUGGCUUGGCAUAUGAAUCCGUUCUUAUGAGUGUGUACUAUACAUGCCUGGUCAUCAUUUGUGAGAGUCAGAGUGGCAUUAAGAUGUUGGUAUGUGGAUCCCAAUUCUUUACUGUGAAGAAGUUAUAGUGUUCAAGGUGGGCUUACACCAUUGCAUAUAUUAGCAUGGAAUGAUAGCAUAUGACUAUUCUACUAUUUUUGUUGGUUUGUGCACAAUAGUAGCUAUUAACAUGGAUAGUUAUGGGUAUUUGUAUUCCUUUAUCAGAUAUGAAACUCGUGGAUCUUUGGAAGACAGACUACUGUGAAAGUGUUUACCAAAAAUGGUUGCA
rnacentral:rRNA from 1 species